rnacentral:rRNA from 1 species
GAUGAACGCUGGCGGCGUGCUUAACACAUGCAAGUCGAACGGAAAGGCUCCUGCUUGCAGGGGUACUCGAGUGGCGAACGGGUGAGUAACACGUGGGUGAUCUGCCCUGCACUUCGGGAUAAGCCUGGGAAACUGGGUCUAAUACCGGAUAGGACGAUGGUUUGGAUGCCAUUGUGGAAAGUUUUUUCGGUGUGGGAUGAGCUCGCGGCCUAUCAGCUUGUUGGUGGGGUAAUGGCCUACCAAGGCGUCGACGGGUAGCCGGCCUGAGAGGGGGUACGGCGACAUUGGGACUGAGAGACGGCCCAGACUCCUACGGGAGGCAGCAGUGGGGAAUAUUGCACAAUGGGCGCAAGCCUGAUGCAGCGACGCCGCGUGGGGGAUGACGGCCUUCGGGUUGUAAACUCCUUUCGCUAGGGACGAAGCGCAAGUGACGGUACCUGGAGAAGAAGCACCGGCUAACUACGUG